ACAUUAGUUCACCAAGAGCUCAAGAUGAGAGAACGUACCGUGACUUUCUUGUAUUCAAUGUAGGUGCAUCACUGUAUGUCAUCCCCCAACAGAAAAAAAAUCGAUAUGACCAUAGAAAAUUUACAACUAUAGUAAAGCGCAAUCCACACCAACAUUGUGUAAUUACACAUAACCACCUAUACCAAACAAACGCAACGCCCCAUUGCCAAUUUUGCACAAUUUUGGAACUUGAGGCAGUUAAAGAGAAUGUUGACCCUGAAGCAUUGAACUAAAGGCUCAAACGUAAGCUCAAAUAAUUAAUUUUAACCAACUACACGUGCAGAGAGGUAUACAUAAAGUACUUAGUCGCUGUUGCAUAUUAUGCGGAAGUGCGAAGUCUCGUAAUAAUCAAUUCGCCGUUAAAACAACAUUGAAAUCCAAUUACAUGUUCGGGAAUUCAGACAACAAAAACUUAUCUAGAGCGUUGUAGUUUUCAUUCAGAGGAACUCAUGGCAGAAAUAUUAGAUCGUUCGGAUUGUAGGCAGGCACUGAUCAACGAGAAAUCUCCAUAACACAUUUAACCCCCCUAAAAAAAGGGCGCUUGCGAAAACGAAACUGUAGAAAGACUAACAGCACAAAAAAAAUCUUUAAAAAUCCUGAAUAUGAAAUGACUUUCUUUCCAUCUUAAAUACUUGAUUUAUGAAAAUGUGAAGUAACAGACAGAUUUAAAGAUCUAUAGCAAAAAUGCAAGAUCCUAGAAAAAAGGAUUCUUAAAAUAUAUGUCACUUAUGAUUGUAAAUAAGAGACCCCUAAAAGCAAUGGAAUAUGUUGAACAACCAAAAAUAAACUGCAUUAAUUUAUGUACAUUAUACUCGUAUGACAACUGUAGCGGAUUCAAAAUCCAGACAAGAUCUAAAAAUCUGACAAUACGUAUUGUGCACUGUUUGCAAUGACGUGUGUAGCUGAAUGUGAGAGCACACUUAAACAUCAACUAUAGGCACUUCUCAAAAGAAUUAGGGAAACUGAAAAGGAGGCAGAAGUAGGUUAUCCUUUUUUUUCAGCAGGACAUUUCACCGUAAACUUUUUGCGAAUAUUUAUAGAAGUGAGCAAACUUGAAGAAUGUUCAUCUGUUAAGAAGAUACCUAUAGACUGAGAGAAAAGUUACAAUUUAACUUCAUUAUAACUUUUUUUUCAGUGUGAUGUAGACUAAGUAUUUUUAUGUACAUAAUUAUAAACUGAAAUAAUUUUGUCAAUUACUAAAAAUGUAUUAAUUGUAAAAAUAAAUUUUCGUAAUUUUAA